AUUGAACGCUGGCGGCAGGCCUAACACAUGCAAGUCGAGCGAGCGGCGGACGGGUGAGUAAUGUCUGGGGACUGCCCGAUAGAGGGGGAUAACUACUGGAAACGGUGGCUAAUACCGCAUACUAUCGGAUAACCCAUAUGGGAUUAGCUAGGAGGCGGGGGAACGGCUCACCUAGGAGACGAUCGCUAGCUGGUCGGAAAGGAUGAUCAGCCACACUGGGACUUGGACACGGCCCAGACUCCUACGGAGGCAGCAGUGGGGAAUAUUGCACAAUGGGCGCAAGCCUGAUGCAGCCAUGCCGCGUGUAUGAAGAAGGCCGUAGGGUUUUAAAGUACUUUCAGCGGGGAGGCGUUACCCGCAGAAGAAGCACCUGCUAACUCCGUGCCAGCAGCCGCGGUAAUAC
rnacentral:rRNA from 1 species